rnacentral:lncRNA from 1 species
CAGGGAAGUGACUGUGGGAAGAAGUUGUAUAAGGGAGAUUUCUGAAUGGGCAGCUCUGAGGAUAUAGCUGGGAGGAGACGGAGGAGCAGAAACUGUAUUGCAGACAGGAGAAGAAGAGAAGGAACAGGAAGAGGAGGAGGAGGAAGAAGAUAAAGAGAAGGAGGGAGAAGAAGAAAAGAAACAAAAUUCCCCACUCUCUCGAAGACAGACCCUGAUGAAGUGGCGCCUGAUUCAGUGAUUUGUGACCCCUAAUGGCCCUGGCGCCUCACCCCAAAUGGCCAGGCUCAGUCAGGUGAAGGCAGGACUGAGGUUUGUAGCCCACACCAUCUGUGUGGAGCACCCUGCAUUUCUCCCAGGUUCUUCAGGGUGGAGCUUCAUCUUUCUUUGGCCUCUUGGACCCAGGUGAGUGAAGACUGGCCCUUCUCGGGGUCCAGACUUGUGUUGGGUAAAGAGAAGAGUUUAAAACCAAGAACUUCCCCUCCCAGGGGGCUCUGUUUUACAGCAGGGCUAAAGUUCCACAGAAGAGACACUGAGAGCAGAUUGGAGUUUGUGACAUUGCAUGGGGUGAGGGUGGGGGUGCUUCAGGACCAGAACGGAUCUUCCUGAGUUCUGGGAUCCUAUAGGUCUGUCUACCCUUAGUAUGAGGCACCAGAGGCCUAGUCAAAUGAGUUGCACAUAAACCUUUCCCAGGCUCAGCCUGUCCCCGCCUCCUCAUACUCUGUCCAGUGGGCCUCGGGGAGGCCUUUGUGAAAAGUCUUCCUCAAGGGACUGUCCUUCCCUUUCACACCUUGGGUUUUCCCAUUCAAAUCCUCUUUACAUGACUUCUCAUGUGGACUCAAGUCUAGGAGACCAGAGAAAGGAGGAAGCAAUCUUCAGCUAUGUGUUACUCAGCCUCAGGUCCAAGGGUGACAGAUUUUAUUCUAAUAAAGCACAGCAGUGUCUUUCUGCCUUUUAUUUUUAC